rnacentral:lncRNA from 1 species
CCAUGGCAUGCAGAAGCUUGAUCUGAGAUCUCAGUUCCCAGACCAGCAAGUGAACCCAGGCUAAGAGUAAAAUCAAUAAUCAUAUCCUCACUAAGUGAGUACUUUUUAUUAAGUCUUCUGAAUUACCGAGUACUGUUCUCCAAAAGAAUGAAAAAGCACUUUUAUCCUCACCAUAUAAAGACAGUUUAUGAUUAAGCUAAAUCAACAUUAAAAAGGUUUUAAACAGGAUUGCACUUUUUCAUCAUGAACUGAACAGCAAAUACACACAAGGCAGCAACCAAAUUUCUGUGAGGAGAUAACAAGUGCCAUGUGAGGAGUGAAACCUGCAUGCCCACUGCUAAUGAACAUGUUCAGAAGCAGUUCCAGAGCUGAGGACCAUCUUCAGGAUGUACUAGUGGACAGAGAAUAAAAAGCCCCAGAGGCUGAGACCCAAGGAAACUGGGUGAGGAAGGAUGAUGAAGACACAUGACUCAGUUCGACACCUUCUUCUCUCAGGCAUGAGGAAAUAAUAGGAUGGAUAUUUUGAGGUUUGAAAAUCAAGUAAAUGAAUAAAGUAAAGUUCACCCAACGAAGACAACCAAAGAGAAACUAAAAUGAUAUUAAACUGAUUAAUUUAUAAAGAUGAAAAGUGGUUAAUUAUACAUCUAGUGAUGUAAGAAUACCUAUGACUGCAAAAUACGAAUAUCUGGUUCAAAUACGAUACUGAUGAAAUACAUAAUGGAAAUGAAAACUUAAGUAUUUAAAUGUUGGCUAGAUUUUUCCCAAUAUUUCAAAAUAAUUAUGAAAUUUUAGAGUCAAAAUGACUUUAAAAACUAUUCCUGCCUGUGGAUGAUUUUGAGUCUCUCAAAUUCAAGUAUUUAUUUUGCAUUAAUAUUAAAACGCUAGUAGUUAGGUCCUAUUUUUGUGGGGGUGGAAAUGAGCAUUGUCACAAUUCCCACAAAGACUUAAAAGUUGUAUUCAUCUUGCUCUCCAGAGUAAUGACAAUAAUGGGUAGUAAUUGUUCACAUUUUAAAGCUCAAAUGACACACAGGUUGAGAAUUAUUAUCUCUAGGUUUUGAGCGCAUGUGACUAGGAACAAGAAAUGUGGUUUCUACCCACAGGAUAAAGUGUGAGUCUCACCAGUCAAUUAUUUCUUUUGCCAAAAUAUAUUAUUUAUAUACACACAUACAUAUAUAUACAUACGCACACACACAUACAUAUAUUGUAGGAGAUGUGAAAGUCACUUGUUGAUCAUCAUAUAAUAUUAAAAUGUAUCUUAUGAAUAUGAUUAACUUGUAAAACAUUCAUUAAAAACACAUUGAUACCUAUGCAUCAAUUUUAAAAUACCCAUUCUGUAGUUCUAAGAAACUAUCAUCAAUGUAAUGAGGUAAAUAAAUAAAUAAAUGUAACAUCAACACCAUUUAAGGAAUGUUUGCAAUAAAAUUAACACUGGAUUUGACAUCAGAAUGAAACCAACUUUACGGUAGAACUGAAAAACCUAACACAAUUUUAUUGAGUAACAGGUUUAUACAGUCCCAUUAUAUGAAACAUGAGUAAGUUAACUUCAGUGAAAGAGCUACUACCACUUUAUUACUGGUAUAUCUGGAAAAUAAAUAUUUAUAUAAGAAAAAACGUCUUUCUUCUUUUCUCAGACCCUCCCUCUGGCCAAAGUUUAUUCUACCUCAAGUUCUGGAAAAGUAAAAACCAUUCAGAAUUAUGCAAAAGAAGACUGACAAAGAAACCUCAAGUUAGACACAGCUCUUUGAAGGGCUCUGCAUGCUGUGAUGAUUUGAAAUCUUGUGGUUUCCCAAGGGGAAGCUAUAACCAUCAGGGAGACUGAAGACAGUACCAGCUGGCUUAGCCAACUAAAAAGCCAGCUGUUUGGGGAGAUUAUUCUCAUUUAAAGCAUCUUCCAAAAACAGCUCUAUGUGGUUGGUUUCAAUUUUCCCUUUCUUUGACACUGUCAAGCUACCUUUUCAGCCUUUACAUAGGAAGAGCAAAGAAAAUAUUAACUUCCUUUAGAAAAGAACCAAAGACUUACUCUUUCUUUUUGUCCUCCUGAAAAAGUUUCAGACCUGAGUCUACUCAUUUAGUAAAACCAUCACCUUUCUUAUCCAACAGGAGUAUUUUAUGGAUGAUCACAAGCAACUUUCUGAAAAUGGGUAAUAUGUCAUGGGAAUGAAGAUAUGAAAUAAAUAUAUUUAUUUGAUACAUAUUAUAUAUCAAAUAUAUAAAUCUGAUAUAUUCAAUAUGUGAUAUACCAAUAUAUAUUACAUUAUAUAUACAUACAUAUCUUUUAUGCAAACAUGGAAACCUUUGGCUGGAAGAAGGAGGCAGAGGAGAGCUGGAGAAUACCUUGUGUGUGUAACCAUUAAAUUACUCUGUUCUGUCCCAUUUAGUAAUGAGAUAUGUCAUUAAUCUGUAAAAGUAGUGAAAGCAAUUGACUAAGAUGAUAAAUUUAAAACAUUUAUUUGGGGAGUUCCCGUCGUGGCGCAGUGGUUAACGAAUCCGACUAGGAACCAUGAGGUUGCGGGUUCGGUCCCUGCCCUUGCUCGGUGGGUUAACGAUCCGGCGUUGCCGUGAGCUGUGGUGUAGGUUGCNNNNNNNNNNNNNNNNNNNNNNNNNNNNNNNNNNNNNNNNNNNNNNNNNNNNNNNNNNNNNNNNNNNNNNNNNNNNNNNNNNNNNNNNNNNNNNNNNNNNNNNNNNNNNNNNNNNNNNNNNNNNNNNNNNNNNNNNNNNNNNNNNNNNNNNNNNNNNNNNNNNNNAAAAAAAAAAAAAAAAAAAAAAAAUUUAUUUGGUAGCAGAGAACAGGAAAGGUAUUCUCAGAACCCAGGAGACAACAUGCUAUCCUGUAGUUCACUUUGUGGGAUGGAUUCUCAGCAUGCGAGGGCUACCUGGGCAUAACACCUAAAAAGUGCUCAGUCUGCUACAAGAGAGGAAAAUACCUAAUAAUACAUAGUAUUAUAGUAAACAUUGCUUUUAGGCACAAGAAUAACUCUACUAUGUUACAAGAAAGAAGACUGAAUUCUUGACAUUAUCCCCAAAGCAAACCCUAACUGCAUGAAAUCACCUCCAAGGUAAAUGACUUCCUGAGGGGUACACUGGUACAAACAAUCCACAGGAGAAUUGGACAUGCGCUUUGAACUAUUUAUGCUACCACUAAGCAAAUGGCCAUCUAUUUUUAAAAUCUGACCUGCAUUUUCUGUUUUCAGAGUUUCAAACUUUAACUGUGAAACUUAAUUUUACAAGAAAAACAAUGAGAGGAAAUAGGAAAGGCUAUGUAUAGACUGCCAGUUCUAACUUCUUCAGAAAACUAUACUGUGCAUACUGAUUCUAGCAUUUUCUCUGUUUUAGGGAGUGUUUCCUCACCUCCCACGAACAUCUCAGGGUUUUCUCCUCCUCCUCCAUGACACCAGUCUAAUUUGAACUCCUAUGUUGAGAUUCAAAACAUACAUACAUACACACACCCGAUAUUCAACUAGUAAUACACAAUUGCUAAGUCAAAUAUAUUUUUAACACUAGAAAAACAAAAUCAGGGAUAUAGUCUUCCACUUAAAAUUUAUUUUUACAGCAGUUCCCACUGUUGCACAAUGGGAUCAGAGGAGUCUCUGCAGCGCACUCUCUGGCCCAGCACAGUGGGAUAAAGAAUCCAGCGUUGCUGCAGCUGUGGCAUAGGCUGCAACUACUGCUUGCAUCUGAUCCCUGGCCCUGUAAAGCCAUAAGCCGUGGGGUGGCCAAAAAAGAAAAAAAAAAUCGGUUUUUACUGAUGUGUGCUAACAGUAUUAACUACAAAAAUUAUCUCCCUAAAGGAUAUUUCAAACCAUGGAACUAACAAGAGCAUUUUGAUAAGAAAUUAAAGAUGCUAAGGCUUUGUAGGAAUAAUUUUUUGUAGCGACGAUGAUGUUCCUUUUUUAAAACCAUUUAAGCUAUAUAGUUAAGAGACCAUUAAGUCUUGGAAACACAACAAACAAAAACAGUAUUUAUCAACUUUUCAUUCUCUUUCCAACUGACUAUAAUAAUAGAUUGUAGGCUUUUUAUUCCCCUUUUUCUAUUUCUCUGAUAAAAGUCACUGUGAUAUCCACAUAACUUUGUGAGGUACAUGUUCUUACCUCAGAUAAGGCAACAAAAACACAGAGGUGAUAAACACCUUAUAUAAGGGCACAUAGUUAUUAGGCAGCAAAAAUGAGAGCUAAAGGCUGUUAAUUCCAAAGCCCUUGCUUGUAACCAUUAUGCUCUGUACCUCCCAAAACACUAUUCCCACAUGGAGCCUUUCUACAAACUAGCUCUGGAGAAUGAACACUUCAAUUUUCUAAAUAAUCAAAGCAAGGGUCUCUCACUCAUCAGAAUGCUAGACUAUUCAACCUAAACCCGGUCAGUCAACUACAGCACAAGGAGCAACCCAGAAGCUUGAGCGAAUGGACUGAAUGAUUUCUUUGGGGAAAUCUUCCCCUUAUCUUAAGACGGUAUUAUCUAAUUUACUGGACCAACAAAAGAGAUGAUGACCUCUUUGAAAUGGAAAAUGAAAAUAUUAAAUAUCCAAAGUAAAGUAAUGCUGUUUAUUUACAUACGUACAAGCAGACUUCAUUUUACUGAACUGCACUUUAUCACACUUCACAGAUACUGUGCUUUUGACAAAUUGAAGAUGUAAGACAACCCUGCAGCCAGCAAGUCUAUCAGCAUCAUUUUCCAAUAGCAUUUGCUCACGUCACAUCUGUUUCACAUUUUGGUAAUUCUCAAAAUAUUUCAAAUUUUUUCAUUAUUAUUAUGUUUGUAAUAGUGAUCUGUGAUCAGUGAUCUUUCAUGUUACUAUUAUGAGAAAGAUUACAAUUAACUGAAGGCUCAGAGGAUGGUUAAUAUUUUUUAGCAGUUAAGUAUGUUAAUUUAGGAAUGUACACUGUUUUUUAGACAUAAUGCUAUUGCACACUUAAUAAACUAAAAUACAGUGUAAGCAUACCUCUUAAAUGCAGCACUGGAAAACCAAAACAUUUUUGUGACUUGCUUUAUUGUGUUAUUUGCUUUAUUGCAGUGGUCUGGAACCAAACCCACAAAAUCCCCAAGUACAAAGUUACAUAAUUGGGAGUGGGGGGAGGCGGGGAAGGUGAAAUCUUUCCAAUUUAAGUAAAAACACCAAAGUAGUAAGCAAUGGAGUUUAAAAAGAAAACACAUGAACAUCUGGAUAUCUUGAAAUAACAAGGUAUCUCUUUUUUUAUGUUGUUGGUUUUACAGGUUUGUUUCUCUUCUCUCUAGGAUUUGAAUAAAUUCCAUGUGUUGGAACCACCUUCUGGUUCUAAGUAAGCAAUUCUUGCUUUCACUUGAAGGCCAAAAUAAAUUAAACAAAAUUAUUUUUUUAAAUUUAAACAAAUUAUGUGAAAUCUCAAGCAUAAGUAUAUUUGUUGACCAAUAUAAUUCAAUAGGUUUUAUUAAAUAUGAAGUCAACAUUUUAAAAUUACUGUUUACUAUGCAUUCAUCUAUUUUUUCAUAAUGUCUUCAAAAAAUUCAAGCUUUGGAGUUCCUGUAGUGGCUCAGUGGUUAGCGAAUCCGACUAGGAACCAUGAGGUUGAGGGUUAAAUCCCCAGCCUUGCUCAGUGGGUUAAGGGUCCGGCGUUGCCGUGAGCUGUAGUGUAGGUCACAGACAGGGCUCGGAUCCCUCAUUGCUGUGGUUCUGGCGUAGGCCGGAGGCUACAGCUCCGACUUGACCCCUAGCCUCGGAACCUCCAUAUGCUGUGGGAGCAGCCCAAGAAAUAGCAAAAAGAGAAAAAAAAAAAAAAAUCCAAGCUUUGAAUCUGGCAUCUGCAUUCUUUUUCAGCAGGAAUCAGGACUUUCCUAUUCAGCAAGUGACUCUCUGCAAGAACCUAAUAUGGUUCAGUAACAACAGAAAUAAUACAAACUACAAAGAGAUAUAUUAAAACAAUAUAUUUACCAGCCUUUUAUAAUCUCUUGUUUUAUACCACACUUCCUAAUAAAAACAAAGUCCUGGAUGAUUUUCGUA